rnacentral:rRNA from 1 species
UACGAAGGGGGCUAGCGUUGUUCGGAAUCACUGGGCGUAAAGCGCACGCAGGCGGAUUGAUAAGUCGGGGGUGAAAUCCCGGGGCUCAACCUCGGAAUUGCCUUCGAUACUGUCUGUCUUGAGUCCGGGAGAGGUGAGUGGAAUUCCUAGUGUAGAGGUGAAAUUCGUAGAUAUUAGGAAGAACACCAGUGGCGAAGGCGGCCCACUGGUCCGGUACUGACGCUGAGGUGCGAAAGCGUGGGGAGCAAACAGG